ACAGCACCAAAGCCGCGAUGCUCGCCCUGUACAGGUUGCCCUGCGCGACUUCUCUUGCGAGCGGGCUAAGGUCUGAGCACUCUAGUCCUCCUCGAUCGACCCCAGCCGGGUCCAGUCGUAAUCGACUGCGCGAGACACAUUGCCUGAAGUACCAUUGGUGCUAUACAACACCAAAUUACCAUGAUGUCUGCAGAGUUUGGCUGACAGGUCGAACCUGUGGUCAUGAGGUAGUACUUUCUGGCAUUGAGACAUGUCGCGAGGACCGGGCAGACAUGCUAUCGUACUAGCAGUCUGUGGUACUCCUCUUGCAACGACCUCGAGGCAUUUCGUAUGCACAACAUUACUAUUUGGUUGUCCCUUUGAGGGCUAGAGGCUUCAUGCAGAGUGUUGUGACACAGAUAUUGUUUGUCCUUCAGUUCACUUCGCGGCUCGCACAUCUGGCUUCAUGCCUGUGCGCAACUCGAUUCAGACUACUCUGGUGCUGU
rnacentral:RNase_P_RNA from 2 species